rnacentral:rRNA from 1 species
GCGUAUGCAAUCUACCUUGUACGGGGAGAUAGCCCGGAGAAAUCCGGAUUAAUAUCCCAUAGUAUAAUUUAAUGGCAUCAUUUGAUUAUUAAAGAUUUAUCGGUACAAGAUGAGCAUGCGUCCCAUUAGCUAGUUGGUAUGGUAACGGCAUACCAAGGCUAUGAUGGGUAGGGGUCCUGAGAGGGAGAUCCCCCACACUGGUACUGAGACACGGACCAGACUCCUACGGGAGGCAGCAGUGAGGAAUAUUGGUCAAUGGAGGCAACUCUGAACCAGCCAUGCCGCGUGCAGGAUGACGGUCCUAUGGAUUGUAAACUGCUUUUAUACAGGAAGAAACCCUACUACGUGUAGUAGACUGACGGUACUGUAAGAAUAAGGAUCGGCUAACUCCGUGCCAGCAGCCGCGGUAAUACGGAGGAUCCAAGCGUUAUCCGGAAUCAUUGGGUUUAAAGGGUCCGUAGGCGGUUUAAUAAGU